rnacentral:rRNA from 1 species
CCUACGGGAGGCAGCAGUGAGGAAUAUUGGUCAAUGGGCGCGAGCCUGAACCAGCCAAGUCGCGUGAGGGAAGACGGCCCUACGGGUUGUAAACCUCUUUUGCCGGGGAGCAACGGGCGCCACGUGUGGCGCCACUGAGAUUACCCGGAGAAAAAGCAUCGGCUAACUCCGUCUCAGCAGCCGCGGUAAUACGGGGGAUGGGAGGGGUAUCCGGAUUUUUUGGGUUUAAGGGGUGCGUGGGCGGAUCGUUAAGUCAGUGGUCAAAUGUAGGGGCUCAACCCCUUCCCGCCAUUGAAACUGGCGCUCUUGAGUGGAAGAGAAGUAUGCGGAAUGCGUGGUGUAGCGGUGAAAUGCAUAGAUAUCACGCAGAACCCCGAUUGCGAAGGCAGCAUGCCGGCUUCCGACUGACGCUGAAGCACGAAAGCGUGGGGAUCGAACAGGAUUAGAUACCCGAGUAGUC